UGCCCCAAUGGCGGAAUUGGCAGACGCGCAGCGUUCAGGUCGCUGUAUGGGUUUCCAUGUGCAGGUUCGACUCCUGUUUGGGGCAU
rnacentral:tRNA from 1 species